UGCAGUCGAACGAUGAUGCCCAGCUUGCUGGGUGGAUUAGUGGCGAACGGGUGAGUAACACGUGAGUAACCUGCCCCUGACUCUGGGAUAAGCGUUGGAAACGACGUCUAAUACUGGAUAUGAUCACUGGCCGCAUGGUCUGGUGGUGGAAAGAUUUUUUGGUUGGGGAUGGACUCGCGGCCUAUCAGCUUGUUGGUGAGGUAAUGGCUCACCAAGGCGACGACGGGUAGCCGGCCUGAGAGGGUGACCGGCCACACUGGGACUGAGACACGGCCCAGACUCCUACGGGAGGCAGCAGUGGGGAAUAUUGCACAAUGGGCGAAAGCCUGAUGCAGCAACGCCGCGUGAGGGAUGACGGCCUUCGGGUUGUAAACCUCUUUUAGUAGGGAAGAAGCGAAAGUGACGGUACCUGCAGAAAAAGCACCGGCUAACUACGUGCCAGCAGCCGCGGUAAUACGUAGGGUGCAAGCGUUGUCCGGAAUUAUUGGGCGUAAAGAGCUCGUAGGCGGUUUGUCGCGUCUGCUGUGAAAUCCCGAGGCUCAACCUCGGGCUUGCAGUGGGUACGGGCAGACUAGAGUGCGGUAGGGGAGAUUGGAAUUCCUGGUGUAGCGGUGGAAUGCGCAGAUAUCAGGAGGAACACCGAUGGCGAAGGCAGAUCUCUGGGCCGUAACUGACGCUGAGGAGCGAAAGCAUGGGGAGCGAACAGGAUUAGAUACCCUGGUAGUCCAUGCCGUAAACGUUGGGCGCUAGAUGUAGGGACCUUUCCACGGUUUCUGUGUCGUAGCUAACGCAUUAAGCGCCCCGCCUGGGGAGUACGGCCGCAAGGCUAAAACUCAAAGGAAUUGACGGGGGCCCGCACAAGCGGCGGAGCAUGCGGAUUAAUUCGAUGCAACGCGAAGAACCUUACCAAGGCUUGACAUACACCGGAAACGGCCAGAGAUGGUCGCCCCCUUGUGGUCGGUGUACAGGUGGUGCAUGGUUGUCGUCAGCUCGUGUCGUGAGAUGUUGGGUUAAGUCCCGCAACGAGCGCAACCCUCGUUCUAUGUUGCCAGCGGGUUAUGCCGGGGACUCAUAGGAGACUGCCGGGGUCAACUCGGAGGAAGGUGGGGAUGACGUCAAAUCAUCAUGCCCCUUAUGUCUUGGGCUUCACGCAUGCUACAAUGGCCGGUACAAAGGGCUGCGAUACCGUAAGGUGGAGCGAAUCCCAAAAAGCCGGUCUCAGUUCGGAUUGAGGUCUGCAACUCGACCUCAUGAAGUCGGAGUCGCUAGUAAUCGCAGAUCAGCAACGCUGCGGUGAAUACGUUCCCGGGCCUUGUACACACCGCCCGUCAAGUCAUGAAAGUCGGUAACACCCGAAGCCGGUGGCCUAACCCUUGUGGAAGAGCCGUCG
rnacentral:rRNA from 1 species